GUCUUGUGUUUCUUUGUGCCAGUCCCAAUUGUGAAGACAACCAUCAGAUGUGGCGACACUUAACAGGGCUAAUCCGAAGAAAGAGGAAAACUCUCUAUAUGAUCAUACGGAACAGGUCAAUUGACCUGAGGGAAGAGGAUUAGAAAGCGCUUUAUGGGUCUGGACCCUGAGUCAUGCACACGUCGGAGUUCAGAGUCUACCCUGCGUAAUACAACUGGACACUUCUAUCAUGUUAUCAAAUGGUUUGCAGAUCUAUAAAUUUAUAGAAAGCUUCUUACACAUCAAAGAAACUAGGAUCACACUUUUUCGCUGUGAUUACAGAUUGGCCCUGAAAACAGUCUCUUCUGUGGACCCAGCAGCGGGCAAUGGCCUUAAAAUGUAACACAGCCCUGGCCAUGAAUGCCAGACAACAAUGACACCUGAGAGCACCCUGCACCCCUCCUUCACCGAACUCUUUUCAGAGGAGCUGCCUGUGAGCCAUUUAGAUGCAUGUAAUAUUAAGCAGGUGCAGGACUUAGUGGGUGAGAGUGGCAGGCAGAGGGCAUUCUGUAGUUGUAAAGCGUGCCUCUAAGCUUUGGUGUUGAGCAGUACAGAAUUUGCAUAGGGUGUUUUGCGAUGGCUGACCAUGAAGGAGACCAAGAGAGUAUACAUGAACACGACAAAUUACACAAUGAAAAAGGAGGAGACUCUGAAGAACCACAUCAUCAAGACUCACAUGAUCUACCACCCGAUGUCCAAAUGCAGGAUGAGCAGGAGAGGAGCAGUAAGGGAGGUCUGCACAGCUCUGUGGGUGGUGACCAGUCAGAUGCUUACAUAGCAGAGCCCUGCUGGUACUGCAUGAAGGUCCUGGAGGAGAGUCAGCCUCAGGUACAGAACUGUGUUUUCUCACUAAUACAUAUCACCUUAUAUCAAUUAUUUAACAAGGUCGGACCAUGA
rnacentral:lncRNA from 1 species